CGGUUACUACUGCACAGCAUUAUUUAGAUGUUAGAUGCAAUUCCAUCUACAGACUGACAGGAGAGAGGGGUGGGGUGGGGUUACUCCUCUGCCACCUGCUAAAACGCAGAGCCACCUGGAACGCCGUUGAACAACCAUUUAUUUAAGUGAAAGUGCUUAAACAAGCUUCCCAGAAUGCUCGGCGCCGUGCAUAACCCCAGGUCUCCGAGACCACUGUUGUUUAAAAGAGAAGCCGUGGCUCCCUCAGCGUGAUUGGCAGAAACAAAGCCCUGGAGGUGUGACCUGCUCCGCAGUUCCACGGCCCACACAGGGAAAGCCCUGAGCCGGACGAGCCCACGCAGACGAAGCCAACCAGCUCGAAAGGGAAAGAGGAAUAACUACCGUUUACACCACUGGGAAUCUCUUUGUAAAAAUAUUCGUCAGAGUUACCAAUCCGUCUGUCUUCACCUGUUGACAUCCACGCUCCGAAACGAGCUGUCCGUCACAGCGCUUCCUGUGUAAGCAUUCCGAAUCCUCUUUUCUCAUUAUCCUGGUCUGAUGCAUCCCAGUUCAAUUUGAAUAAGACUCAACUUCUCAGUUCAACCAAAUGAAAUCCCUCAGCCAUUCCCAACAGUGUUAAUUAAGCCCACUACAGAACAUAACUGAUUAAUUAGUGUUAAUUAAUACAGACACAAAACCUGUUUCCCACAGAAAAAGAACAUUCCAGUUUUCUGUUUUAACCGCGUGCCGUGCCUUUGUUUUAAGUGACCCCCUGUAUGCAUCCGGUCUCCAGACUCCCAUCAAGCCAAUCACGUCUGGUAAUCCAUCACCGGCAGACGCAUGUCGGCUCAGACACUGUACACGAGGACCCUCCUGGCAGAGAGGCUACGGAAGCCAGGGUGAGGAUGUCUGGGUUUCAUGCAACUGCUUUCAUACUUCAAAGCAUAUGACAUCCACAGCUGUAGUUUCCCAUCCUCCCUAAUUUCAAACUAAACCUUUGUCUCUUGCCAGGUACAUCAUCAAAGCAAAAAAUAUUGUUUUGAAAGUUUGCUUAAUAAGUAGAUUCAGAUGCCAUAAUCACGCUAUUUGAACCAUGUAUGUAAUGGUUCUUAUAAUAGCCGGCCAGGAUAUUUAAUACAGUAUUUUAGAAUGUUAUGCUCUGUAUUGCUGUUGUUUUGGAGAUGGAAGGACCCCAUAGCCUCUCUGUCAAAGGGUCAGAAACUCUUGAUCAUGUUAUGCUUUGUUUCUUGGGACUGUCCACGUGUCGGCCGUCCUGCUGCUAGCAGGUCAGACGCAGCCGUUGGCUAAGCCGUCUGGAAGAUCGCCAACGGCAGCUCACUCAGGAAACGCUACGGCGCGGACAGGGCUGUGGAGACGUGGACAUGGGUCAGGAUGAUUGUACGCCAAGCUCCGGUUGUGGCACAGCUUACGUUUUCACAGCACACAGGAUAAGUCACAUCACUGGGGGAAACCAACGGGUUCGGGCGUGUUAGCCUCAACUUCUACUAAAAGGCUUAUAUGAGCUUUCUGAGGACAGAGAUUAGACUUGGUGUUGUGAUAUCAGAGUUCUUUAAUUGGGAACUUUGACUCCUAAUAAUUUCUUUCCAAACAUCCCCUCCCAAACAAACUCUCCCUCUCUCAUUCCCUCUCUCUCUCUCUGUUUCUCUGCAUUGCAGCGAGAUCUUUCUUGAGACUGCUAUUGUUUCACAUAUUUAUAAAAGAUCUAUAUCUUAAUGCCCUGAGAAACACAAGCGUGCUUGUUGAUUGAAGAGCACAUUCCUAGUAGCAGUCAAAGCCCUUAAUGAGCACCUCCCCAUUAUAACUCUCCCAAACGGGGCUUCUCGCCCAGUAAACCAGGGGCUUCAGAGAGCAGCAAGCACUUAACAAGGCUGCCUGUGUUCUCUGUGAGUAAACAAGCAACAGGGCUAAUGGCGUCAGGACAAUAGGUGGAAGGCGCUUGGCUAUUCAUCUUACUGUACUUGGAGAUAAGCUGAGAGACUCCGGUGGGUCAAAGGAUAGAACAGAAACCAGUUAUGUGGUUGGUGUAGUUUAGUUGGGGACUGGGGUUCAGUCCGUCUGAUCGUCUGGUCAAAUGCACCAUGUUAUGCCAGUAAGAGUCCUGCUCUGGUUAAGGGCAUCUGGCAAAUGUCAUAAGCGAGGUCUCCAGAGUUAUGGCAAGUGUGAGUUGAGUUAUUAAUCUUGGUUAAUAAAGACAGCACAUUUGAGCCUGGACACA